CCGGAUAUUCGGUUAUGAUCCAACUUAAUAUUAGUUUAUCUUGCUGGAUAUUCGCCGAUGUGGACAAUCCUUCUUCCCCCAAAACGUAUGUCAUCAACUGGAAUCCACGAAGCAUCGUAAAAAACUGUGCCUCCCACGAAAAGUAGUUUGAUUUUUGUAAGAGCACACACCUGAUGACUUUUGUGAAACCUUCGUGUUUGUUGGUUGUGUGAGUGCCUCACCAAUGAUCGCCGGAAUGCCUUACAAUGGUAACUUCAGAAAAGGGGACAUAAGAAAGUGGGUGUAGAUGGUGACAUAACCAAGGGGAGGAUAUGACGCAGGGUCGUUCCCAGGGUGUAGAUGGCUGAAGAAGAAGGAGCGUUUAACUUGUGGAAGCGGAAAGUGGAAACCGAAGAUGAGAGGAAAAAGGAGAGGGGGAGCAUUUAUAGACCCAGGGCACGGAAGUCAAAGCAUUGCGAGUACUUGAGUGGAGAUACGUGCCAUGG
rnacentral:lncRNA from 1 species